rnacentral:lncRNA from 1 species
GUCGUAAAAGGGGACGCGGAGGAGAAGGAAAGUCGCUCAAGCAGUGGACAGAGCGGAGAAAGCGACUUCGGCCGCAGAGAGAAGAAGCUGCCCAAGAAUGGAAAGGAAGAAAUAUAUCACAUCAUCUGUCUGUCCACAGGCUUUCCUUGGGGCUUAUGAAGUGAAUGAAGGAGGGAAGAAAGGAGAGACAGAGAAAAUAUGGAUUUCCUCAUGGUUGUGAUUCCUCUUCACUCUUUUGAAUUUGGAAGGAUGGCAUACACAUCUGAAAAAUACCACUACUUCCUUCAUUGGACUGCAAGGUAUUUCUGUUUGGAAAAGUAAUGGAGUCCAGUCAACUUCAUUGAUCGCCAAGGACUGUCAAAAUUAUAAAACUUGCUGUGGAGCUCUGACAUGCCAGAAGCCGCUAGAAAAAGAAGUUUGACAUUCAGAAACUUAUCAAGAGGUUCUACUCUUUGGAUAGAGACCAAAAUCAUACUUUGAAAAAGCCUGACAGGUUUCUUCGGAAAAGUGGCCAUCCAUGGAAUGAAUGAAAUGUUCUCUUUCUAUUCCAGGGAUUGCAGUGGCAAAGCUAGGCUAGGUCUUGGAGGCUGGUGUAAGGCGAUGUGGGUGAAGGCAGGAGGCUGAUGGAAAGACUGGGGGGAAGAAAAGCCGAAAUGGAUUCACGGUGCCUUGGAUGAAGGACGAGAGGGGAACUGCAAGCUCCUUCAACUGGUUCUGUCCGGUGAGAAGUGAUCAAGCUUGGGCUGACAAGAGGCUCAGGGAGCCCUCACGUUCUUUCGCUUUUUUACCUGCCAAUCAAACUGCUACAAGACAACACCCUGAUCUGGCAUGGACAUAAUCAAGCUUUGGUCAUUCCGGAAGUCGUGUAGCAUGCUCCAAUUUGAAGUGACUGAGAUCUUUUGUGACUUACAGAGGAGAAGGAAAUGUUUUAAAAAUUGGCUUAUGCCAGUCUCCUUACUCUGAAAUUCUCAAUUUUCUUGUAUUACAGGAUAAAUAUAAAUAUCAUCUCACCAAAUUG